rnacentral:rRNA from 1 species
GGACCCGCACAAGCAGCGGAGCAUGUGGUUUAAUUCGAAGCAACGCGAAGAACCUUACCAAGGUUUGACAACCCCUUGACAGAUGCAGAGAUGUGUCCUCCCCUUCGGGGGCAAGGGAGACGGGUGGUGCAUGGUUGUCGUCAGCUCGUGUCGUGAGAUGUUGGGUUAAGUCCCGCAACGAGCGCAACCCUUAUCCUUAGUUGCCAGCAAGUAAAGUUGNGCACUCUAAGGAGACUGCCGGUGAUAAACCGGAGGAAGGUGGGGAUGACGUCAAAUCAUCAUGCCCCUUAUAUCUUGGGCUACACACGUGCUACAAUGGUCGGUACAAAGGGAAGCGAAAGAGUGAUCUGGAGCAAAUCUCAAUAAACCGAUCCCAGUUCGGAUUGUAGGCCGCAACUCGCCUACAUGAAGUUGGAGUUGCUAGUAAUCGCGAAUCAGAACGUCGCGGUGAAUGCGUUCCCGGGUCUUGUACACACCGCCCGUCACACCAUGGAAGUUGGUAAUACCCGAAGUCGCUGAGCUAACCGUAAGGGGGCAGGCGCCGAAGGUAGGAUCAAUGACUGGGGUG